CACAACCCUUCACUCCCGGGACUCGUCGGAACCGCCCAAGACGGAACCGCCACGGCCGCCACCCUGUUCGGCUCCGGCUCGCUCCGGGCUUCCUCGGGCUUUGACCGCCGCGUCCUGACGUCACACGGAGGCCUGUCCCCGCCCCCGCGUACGGCCAAUGGGAGCCGCCAGACGGGCUUGGGCCCGCCCACGCGGUGACGGGAGGGGCGCUUGCAGGCAAGCCGGAAGACAGCAUUCUGUGUAUUCUAGCAGGGUAAAACAAAGAUGAAGCAAGUGUAUGAACUCACCU